AUCUAGCUGACGAGUCCCAAAUAGGACGAAACGUGUGUCAAACUGGAU
rfam:Schistosoma rodhaini strain Burundi genome assembly, scaffold: SROB_scaffold0006010